AAGGCUUGACCUCAAAUCAGGUAGGACUACCCGCUGAACUUAAGCAUAUCAAU
rnacentral:rRNA from 1 species